UACGGGGGGAGCAAGCGUUGUUCGGAUUUACUGGGCGUAAAGGGCGCGUAGGCGGCGUGACAAGUCACUUGUGAAAUCUCCGGGCUUAACUCGGAACGGUCAAGUGAUACUGUCGUGCUAGAGUACAGAAGGGGCAACUGGAAUUCUCGGUGUAGCGGUGAAAUGCGUAGAUAUUCGGAAGAACACCAGUGGCGAAGGCGGCUCACUGGACUGGUAUUGACGCUGAGGUGCGAAAGCGUGGGGAGCAACAGGG
rnacentral:rRNA from 1 species